AACGAACGCUGGCGGCAUGCCUAACACAUGCAAGUCGAACGAUUGCCUUCGGGUGAUAGUGGCGCACGGGUGCGUAACGCGUGGGAAUCUGCCCUUAGGUUCGGAAUAACAGCUGGAAACGGCUGCUAAUACCGGAUGAUAUCGCGAGAUCAAAGAUUUAUCGCCUGAGGAUGAGCCCGCGUUGGAUUAGGUAGUUGGUGGGGUAAAGGCCUACCAAGCCGACGAUCCAUAGCUGGUCUGAGAGGAUGAUCAGCCACACUGGGACUGAGACACGGCCCAGACUCCUACGGGAGGGAGCAGUGGGGAAUAUUGGACAAUGGGCGCAAGCCUGACACAGCAAUGCCGCGUGAGUGAUGAAGGCCGUAGGGUUGUAAAGCUCUUUUACCCGGGAAGAUAAUGACGGUACCGGGAGAAUAAGCCCCGGCUAACUCCGUG
rnacentral:rRNA from 1 species